rnacentral:lncRNA from 1 species
AUCAACUACUCUGUCAUCACAUACUUGAAAAGACUUGAUUCUCGCAUACAAUCAACUAAUUCCGUGUCAACUCCUGAAACCAUAAACUUGCAGCUUGGGCAGAAAGAACUUCUUAGAAAUGCGUAUGAUGCACCAGCUUCAACGUAGAUUAAGGAAUGGAGACCCUUAUAUAAGCAGGAUUACAUACUGAAUCUGCAGAUCUAAUUCAAUUCUCUUUAAGUAACACCAUCUUGGGCUUAUCUCUAUGUACCGAGUAUCAAUCCUUGGGUGACAGAAACUAGACAAGAUACACGGUUUCCUCAGAUCAGGGUGUGUAGUAAAAGGUUUGAUGAAUCUGGCACAAUCAUCCAAUAUACAGGCAAAGUUAGAUUCUUUGAAAGAUCAAUUACUACAUUAGAAAGGUAACAACAGAAGAAGACACAUAACUGGAUCGGAAGUACUCCAAAAGAGAACAAAUAGAUAAUACUUUUGAGAUGGAAAAGAAAAUAUCAGAAACUUUCGUAUUGCUACUAUAUCAUCAUCAUAAGCCAACAAUAUCAAUUGACUAUUUCUAGGAGUCAUUCAGCGUGAAAAUUCACCAUGAAAUCCUUGAAACUUGAAAGAAAACCAAAGGGUAAAAGGCCUAGAAUGGCGUACAAGUAGAUAGAGAUAAGAAACACCUGUAUAGAAUGAAACUAUACCAAUUUAGGAGGAAAUGAGAAAGAAAAAACCUAGCAGGGCUCUCAUCAAACCAGAUUCUGCUGGGUGUUUUAGUGGACAUCGACGUGUCCCCAUCUUCUAGCCAAACCGCAUCUAACAAAGCAGAAUCUAUUACAAGGAUUAGGAGAGCAGGCCUUGCGUAAAAGAAUGAUGGACAUAAUUCGUCUCUUUAAUAUGAAUCAAGAAGGGCCAAGAGUUCCUCAAAGGAAAAUCACAGCCCUGCCAAAAUAUAAUAAAAAGAAGUAAAGGAGAUUAAGAGAGAACCUGCUGAAAAAUAAAUAGGAAUUUUUGGACAAAUUCGUCCCGAUAACCAUCAAGCAGCAAACAAAGUUCCUGUUAGAUAAUGUUAAAAACAGAUAUUAGAUACUUCACACACACACUUUAUCUUGCGAAAGAGAACCAGAUUGUAUGAACUUACAUAACUAUCUUAUAUUGCGAGGGAGAUCAAAUUGUGUGAACUACAGUGUAUACAUCAGGGGAAGGGGAAAGAGUUAGGAACAAGCGAAUUAGUUAAUUGAUCCAGUUUGUCAAUUAUACCACAAACGUAAAUUGAUCCAGUUUGUCAAUUAUACCACAAGCGUAAAUUGAUCCAGUUUGUCAAUUGAUCCAUUUUACUUUAUGUAACACUCUUAUCUAUCUAUCUAUAUGUAUAAGAGAUGUCCAGCACUAUGUGGGUACUGGAAAUGCGCAUAACAAAAGGAGAAACAACUCUGUUCUUUCAACAUGUAUCUAUAUAUAUGUGAGUUAUAUUCGUGCAGACACACAAGCAUCUUUAUCUGCAAGAAUGCUGGUAAAUGUUUUUUCAUUGAUAUUUUAUCUAAUGAUAUGCUUGCAUCUAAUAUGCCAAAUGACAUUGACCAGCUUAGACUUUGAUCAACUUCAUACAAGCUAUUCAGUUUGGACAAAAUGACCACACCACUCAUGGAUACUUGAAAAUUAAAGUGACAUAAGUUUAAAUCUCAACUAAUACUUCAGGCAAUAUUUUGUUCGCAUACCCCCUCCUCCCUUGAGCCGCUUAAGUUAUCAAUGAUAUGCCUGCAUCUAAUAUGCCAAAUGACAUUGACCAGCUUAGACUUUGAUCAACUUCAUACAAGCUAUUCAGUUAGGACAAAAUGACCACACCACUCAUGGAUACAUGAAAAUUAAAGUGACAUAAGUUUAAAUCUCAACUAAUACUUCAGGCAAUAUUUUGUUCGCAUACCCCCUCCUCCCUUGAGCCGCUUAAGUUAUCACAGCAGUAGCUAGGGGAUAUAAAACGGAGCUAUUCCAAGAGUAAAUGCAGGUAUGAGAACCUUGGCUGCCAGCAAGGCAGCGACGAAAUUGUAGACCUGGAAUUAUCAGGUUUUUACAUUAAGUAUUUGCUUCAACCUAAUAGUCACGACAGAAGACUAACAGCUUAUUUGGAUGGUUGUUACCUAUCAUAUUGUUACUUUAAGUACAAUGUUUGUUUUGAUUGUUACUUUAAUUUUAUUGUAUCGUAUCGUUAAAUCCAUCGUUAUGUAACGACGAAAAGUGCCAAUUUUAUUGUAUCGUAUCGUUAAAUCUAUCGUUAUGUAACGACGAAAAGUGCCACUUUAUGAAACGACGGAUUUGGUGUGGUGGCAUCGUUUCUUUGCUUUUUUCCUCUCAUCUUGCCAUUCUUUAUUAUUAAAUAAUCAUAUUUUAUUCUUUAUCCUACUUUUUAUAUAAUAAUUCUACUCCGUAUCCUAUUUUUUCUUAGUAAUGUUGCAACUUUAUUCUUCAUAUUGUUAGUGCGUGACAUCAUGAAACGACGGCAAACGAUACAAUCUAUCCAAACAUUGUAUUCAUCAAACAAUACAAUGCAAUACAGUACAAUACAAUACGAUACAUUAUGAAACGACAUGUAACAACAAUCCAAACAAGCUGUAACUAGUAUUUGUGGAUAGAGACGGAUAGGGAGUAAUCAUCACCUGUGCAUGUGGGUUAUGGCAAGUUGUCUGGUAGAUUAGCGCGUGCAAGCUGGCAGGACACCACAUCACCACAAAAGAAGUAGGAAAAGAGAAAGAGAUUAACUAGAAUUGUGUUAAACAGAGCAAAAUAACCUACUCAUGAAUACAUCCUUGCACACAUUGUAAUGACAGUAAAGAAGUAAUUGCCCUUCGCGGCCUUUAUUGGUUUUAACAAUUGAUUUAAGAGCUUACAACAACAACAACAAACCCAGUAGUUUCCCACAAGUGGGGUCUGGGGAGAGUAAGAUGUACGCAGCCUUACCCCUACCCCUGGAAGGGCAGAGAGGCUGUUUUCGAUAGACCCUCGGCUAGAGAAUGACUGAAAAAAAACCCAGUAGUUUCCCACAAGUGGGGUCUGGGGAGAGUAAGAUGUACGCAGCCUUACCCCUACCCCUGGAAGGGCAGAGAGGUUGUUUCCGAUAGACCCUCAGCUAGAGAACGACUGAAAAAGAACAGGUAAUUGCAACAAGUAGGAAUAACAGCAAGAUGAAAUUGAUUUAAGAGCUUACCAAUAAAGAAAUGCAACGGUCUCUUUUUCCUUUCCACUUCUAUUUUAACGAUGGAGAAGGCAGGAAGAUUUGAAUGAGGAUCGAAGCGUUCAUACCUAGAACACCACAUGGGUUGGAACACAACCUUCAUAUUGUAUCCAACACGGCCACACCUUGAAGCCUUGGAGAACAAAGCACUGUUAUAUUACUCGUUUCCAUUACAAGCAUAUUCAAAGUGCAACCCUUUGGCAAUACAAAAACAAAAGCCCGAAGUUAGAAAAUAGAAAACAUGUCCACAAAUAUUAGUAAAAAUGUAAGAUGCGCUAAGAAUCAAAGAAAUUGUGUCAAAAUGAAAACAAAAAUGGAAUCAAAGUUGUUACAAGGCC